UAGGUUGGUCCAUUCAAAGGCAAAUUUGC
rnacentral:piRNA from 1 species